rnacentral:rRNA from 1 species
UACGGGGGGAGCAAGCGUUGUUCGGAUUUACUGGGCGUAAAGGGCGCGUAGGCGGCCUCUGCAAGUCGACUGUGAAAUCUCCGGGCUUAACCCGGAACGGUCAGCCGAUACUGCAGGGCUAGAGUGCAGAAGGGGCAACUGGAAUUCUACGGUGGUAGCGGUGAAAUGCGUAGAUAUCGAGAGGAACACCUGCGGCGAAGGCGGGUGCUGGGCUGACACUGACGCUGAUGCGCGAAAGCUAGGGAGCGAACGGG